rnacentral:rRNA from 1 species
AGAGUUUGAUCAUGGCUCAGAACGAACGCUGGCGGCGUGGAUAAGACAUGCAAGUCGAACGAGAUUUUUUCCUGUAGCAAUACAGGGAAAAGUCUAGUGGCGAACGGGUGCGUAACACGUGGGCAAUCUGCCUUAAAGUGGGGGAUAGCUCGGCGAAAGCCGAAUUAAUACCGCAUGUGAUCAGGGGAGACAUCUUCCCGAAAUCAAAAGUGGCGCAAGCUACUGCUUUUUGAGGAGCCCGCGGCCUAUCAGCUAGUUGGCGAGGUAACGGCUCACCAAGGCUUUGACGGGUAGCUGGUCUGAGAGGACGACCAGUCACACUGGAACUGAGACACGGUCCAGACACCUACGGGUGGCAGCAGUCGAGAAUUUUUCUCAAUGGGGGAAACCCCGAAGGAGCGACGCCGCGUGGAGGAUGAAGGUCUUCGGGUUGUAAACUCCUGUCAUUUGGGAACAAGUGUCGGUACCUAACUGCUACCGGCUUGAUAGUACCAGAAGAGGAAGGGACGGCUAACUCUGUGCCAGCAGCCGCGGUAAUACAGAGGUCUCAAGCGUUGUUCGGAUUCAUUGGGCGUAAAGGGUGUGUAGGUGGCGCCGUAAGUCGGGUGUGAAAUUUCGGAGCUUAACUCCGAAACUGCAUUCGAUACUGCGGUGCUUGAGGACUGGAGAGGAGACUGGAAUUCAUGGUGUAGCAGUGAAAUGCGUAGAGAUCAUGAGGAAGACCAGUGGCGAAGGCGGGUCUCUGGACAGUUCCUGACACUGAGACACGAAGGCCAGGGGAGCAAACGGGAUUAGAUACCCCAGUAGUCC